rnacentral:lncRNA from 1 species
GUACAUAGAGAAGGUGCUAAAGAGAUUCAGUAUAAAAAAAAAUCCAAAAGGGGUUUCAGAUUAAUCUCUCUAAGAAGAUGCAUGGGACUCAUCUGUGGAGAUACAAUACAUAAGCUAAAUUCCUUAUGCUUUGGCUAGUGGGAGCCUCAUGUAUGCCAUACUAUGUAUUUGAUCUGAUAUAUCUUUAUUAUGAGUGUCACGAGUAAAUAUCGAUCGAAUCC